CCUACGGGUGGCAGCAGUGAGGAAUAUUGGGCAAUGGCCGGAAGGCUGAACCAGCCAUGCCGCGUGAAGGUCAGUGCCCUAUGGGCGUUAAACUUCUUUUGUGCGGGAGCAAUAAUGGUCACGUGUGGCCAGACGAGAGUACCGUACGAAUAAGCAUCGGCUAACUCCGUGCAAGCAGCCGCGGUAAUACGGGGGAUGCAAGCGUUAUUCGGAUUGAUUGGGUUUAAAGGGUGCGUAGGCUGUGAGGUAAGUCAGUGGUGAAAUGCCCCCGCUCAACGGGGUGAAGUGCCAUUGAUACGGCCUUGCUGGAAUGCGGAUGCCGUAGGAGGAAUGUGUGGUGUAGCGGUGAAAUGCAUAGAUAUCACACAGAACACCGAUUGCGAAGGCAGCUCACGAAUCCGCGAUUGACGCUGAUGCACGAAAGCGUGGGUAUCAAACAGGAUUAGAUACCCGUGUAGUC
rnacentral:rRNA from 1 species